rnacentral:rRNA from 1 species
UGGCGGACGGGUGAGUAACGCGUGGAAAACCUGCCGUAUACUGGGGGAUAACACUUAGAAAUAGGUGGCUAAUACCGCAUAAGCGCACAGCUUCGCAUGAAGCGGUGUGAAAAACUCUGGUGGUAUACGAUGGUUCCGCGUCUGAUUAGCUAGUUGGUGGGGUAAUGGCCUACCAAGGCAACGAUCAGUAGCCGGCCUGAGAGGGUGAACGGCCACAUUGGGACUGAGACACGGCCCAAACUCCUACGGGAGGCAGCAG